UACGGAGGGUGCGAGCGUUGUCCGGAAUCACUGGGCGUAAAGGGCGCGUAGGCGGCCUGAUAAGUAGGGGGUGAAAUCCUGCGGCUUAACCGCAGGGCUGCCUUCUAAACUGUCAGGCUAGAGCACGGUAGAGGCAGAUGGAAUUCCCGGUGUAGCGGUGGAAUGCGUAGAGAUCGGGAAGAACAUCAGUGGCGAAGGCGGUCUGCUGGGCCGAUACUGACGCUGAGGAGACGAAAGCGUGGGGAGCGAACAGG
rnacentral:rRNA from 1 species